UAAGAAACACGUUCACGCAAAGGCUU
rnacentral:piRNA from 1 species